UCGUGCGGGGGAAAGAUCUUUAUUACUCACGGUCUCCGCCUCUUCUCUUCUCCGCCCCUGCACUGCUGCCUCGGCGCCAUCUUUAGGUGCUGUCAGAACCCAUUGUUCAUAUGCCUAUAGUGCAGUGGAGAAGUCUGUACCUAGAAAAAGUUCCCGCCAAAUUGCAGCUUCUUUGCACAGUGGAGUUUUCUGCUGCAGAGGAGAACCCCGGGUGCAGAAGAGUUCCCGCCAAUUCGUAGCUUUUUUGCAGGGUGCAUUUCUGAGCUGCAGAGAGGAAAUGCACAUUGCAGGCAGUUCCCGCCAUUUGUAUUUAAAUUUGAGUCCUGCAAUUGGCCAGUUCUAAAUUAUUCACACGUAGCGGCCAGUGAUUGGCUUGCUAGCCGUAUAAGAGGUUGAAGCAGUUUCCGCCCAAGUUGGAGAACUCCACACACACCUCGUGGAGAGCUCUGAGCACGCUGUGGAGCCUAGCAAACUCCGUGUGUGUCUUAGAGCGAACUUAGCGGCCUGAUCAACCACUAAGGACUCCCUGUCACCGACCCAAGGGGGCCUAGCACACCCCCAUCCGAGACGUAAGACGACUGCCGGCCCGAACACCCCGAACUCCCCGACACAUUUGCAGACCGACCAAAGAAACUCUGUAAUUUCUGACUGACUCCUGUACCCGUUUGCAACUGUAAUCGAAGCAAGCUUCUGACCUGCACUGUACGAGCAGUGUAAGUAAAGCAAUCUAUUUUAUUAAAUCAAUACGCUUGAGUACCUGAUUCCACUCCAAGCAUCACAAGUACCCGCCCGCCGACUAGGGCUCCUAAAGCCCCGAACCCCGCACCACGGCUCUCGGCGGCGACAGGUGCAGUCACGGCAUGGUCGGCGGCCAUCUUCAUGAGCGUCUGUAUCAAAUUCGCUUGAUUCGUGGCGUGUCUCAUUAGCGUGGAAAACGAGCGAAACAAGAUAUUAAGCAUUUUUUCUUUGUCCCACUUUUGUCCGCCCCACUUAGAGGAAUUUUUACCCUCCUCUUCUAGGUUCUCCCUCCAGGUAGUCAAUAUUUCAUUUUCGGCCCCUCCCGGAAUAAUAGCCGGACAAUAAAACUUGUCAGGGGGGGUAUCACAGCCUCCUCCUGUCUUGAGGUGUUGUAUGCACCAGGCAAAUUCUUUUUCGGGGGCGCGGUCAAUGCCCCCACCCAUCGGUUUGAUCCGACUAAGUUUGACCUCCGCCACUACGUCGGGGGGGCCGGUACAGGACAGAGGGGCAUGACAGGAGGCAGCCAAGCGCAGCGGGACUGAGCCCGGACACCACCCAUUCCUUAGCUGCCCCGGGCUGGUAUGUGAGCGUGUCGGUCGGCUGGAUGGACAAAUAGCCCCCUAACUUUCCAUUUUGUGCGACCCGGUGGUAGGCAAUGUGGGCCCAAAGGCCGUCCGCAUCAGUGGGCGGAGGCCGCUGAUGGUUCACCCCCGAGCAGUACUUUACUAAGGGGUCUGCAUGUGUUUUCCCUUCUCGUCUCAGAGGGGUCGCCCUGGGUUUUGGAUAUCGAUGGGCGUUGGCGAGACUGAGAUAGAAUUGGCCAGAUUCCACCCUGUUCGCUUAGUCUUGGACUCUGGAAAGAUUUCUUCUGGAUUCUUUGGUUGUUUUAUAAGACUGCCACAAUUUUUAGUGUCCCCGUGAACCAAUUGGCUUCCAUUAUUCUGUUCGUUAUAUGGUGGUCCCCCCCCCCCAGGUUUGAGUCUCCCCCCGGGUUUGAGGGAGCGCCCAACAUUUACGGCAAUAGUGUGACAAUAUCCGCAAUGGCUGCGGCUGCUAUCUGUGAGUUAGUACAUGGUGGCUGCUUAUCUGUAAAUUAGUACAGUCAGUGCUUUCCCAAAAUGACAGCUGGUCACUCGGGAGCAAGCAGCAAAUAUUAUACAAGAAUUUUCUUUUUGUUGUUAAAACCACUGCAGCGUACUUUCUUUUCUUCCCAGUGCUGGAAAAGGGACGAGAUGCAUUCUCGUAGCCUUCUCCUUUCACCUCUAUACCUAGGGGGAUAAGCACCGCUAUAGAUUUCCAGAUCUUUUGGCUUUGGGGAGCGUUAGGGCCCCCACCUGUAAUAUUUUGGGCACGUGACCUCCCUAUAUCUCAGGGGACAGGUCUUAUGCCCUCUCGUUUUUUGUUUCUUUUGGCUGCUUGGUACCUUGCACGCGUGAUUACUGCUCGUCUUCUUGAGGGCAGGCACUGUGUUCCCCACCCGAGGCCCUGGAGACGAGUGCCCUGGCACUUGGCUAGCUGUUCUUUUGCGCCCCUGGCCUGCAGCCUGUAAGCAGGGCCCAGAUCCCCUUGAUUCUCCGGGGCGGGUCUCGUUGCACUUGAUGACAUUGGCCAGAGACGAUACCCACAGACUACUGGGAAGGCUGCAGGCUUCUGGAGGAUAUUGAGUGCACUGGGACCCCGAGGCUUAGUGACCUUCCUAUAACUCAGGUCCAGGUCUCCGCUCCUCUGUUCUGCUGCUCCUGGCACUAUGAGAUGCGCCCCUGCACCCUGUAAACAGGGCUGCAACCCUACCCCUCUGACCUUGGGGGAGGAGGGCUCCUUUAGCCCUUUGGGCUCUGGCUUCCGUGGUAGGAGACUGAUAUCGUGGCCCUUAUGUCCCCAGAAUGGGGCAGCUUUAAAGUGUGAACGAGACUGCCUGGGGGACUUGUCAGCUGGCAUUUGGGUUUUGUCUGGGCUUCAUGCCCCACCAGCCAGCUGUGUGCAGGGAGCACCGCCCUGUCAGCAGGGUUUCCGGUGUUUGUGGGCACCGUUCAUGGUGCCGCCCUAGCAGUUCUGUCCAGAAUCCCGGCCCAUCACACUCUGCUUCUGGCUGGCCCAGAUGUCAGCAGCCGAGCCCACAGAUGUCCGCCCUCCCCGCUUUCCAUGGACAGAGGACAGAGUAGCCACAGAUCCAGGUAAGGGUAAAAGAGGGAGAGAAGUUGGGGCCUGCAGACCCAUUUUCCGUGGCGCUGACUUGCAUCAUGUUUCUGUCUUGUUAUUUCUCUCCCCAGAAGGAGAAGCAGAGAAGAUGACAGACAAAUAGGAGUUAACGGAUAACCAGGGCAGAAAUCCAUGCAAGGCAACCAGGAGGCAAAGGUCAUGCAGAAGACAGGAGAUGAGCAACCCAAGGAAGGAAGAAACCCUUGCCUGCCCAGCAGGAGGGAAAGGUCCCUGAAGAGCAGCUGGAGAGGAAGGAAUGGAAGCCGGAGAAGACAGCCCGGGAACAAGAAGUGUGGGUCGGGGUGGGCAGGAGGAAGGGGAAUGUUUAAUGUCUGCUUAGAUAGGUACAGAUGGAGGCUGUUGAGUGCCUCUCUACACUUUCACACACCCUUUAGGAGCAAGCAGCCGCAGGCUUCAAGUUGCACCGUGCACUCGGUCUUGGGUUGGCCCCGAUUGUGUGCAGGGCGGUUGAGUCUUUGUACUAGUUGCGUGUCUUGAUAUGGAGCAGUCAAGGGUUUUGCAGGUUGUUUGGCUUUGCUAGUUAUGCAGUGGAUCGGAAUAGAUGUGCGAUCAAGGGCGAAGGGUUUUCUCGGUUGGGUUGUUGAGCGGUUCUCGGUGUUAGCGUAGAAGUGCAGGUUUGUGCUCGGUUCUGUUUGUGGCUUGGCUGUAGCUUGCUUAGGCUGUAGGUUGCGGGGCCAACUGGGGCUGUUUGUGGUGAACUUUGUUUGCGUCUGUCAAUUAAGACUCCACGAGUGUUUGAAAGUGUUUAAUCUCCAGCUCCACGGCCAGUGAGGAUGAAGAAGAUGUCUUGUGUCCAAAGGAUCCUAAAGGUAGUUGGCGCGGUCAACGUCAAACCACAAGAAGCCAGCUGACCUAUGAUGUGCACAAUUGAACAAUAAACGGCCUAAGAAAUCUCACCUCGUAUCUCGUGCUUUUCUAUGCUGUGAAGAUUUGGCCACGGGCCUUUCCUGUUGAGAGCUGGCUGAAGGAUGAACAUUUUCAGUGUGUCUGCUGAUCCGACCUGUGUGCUGACUUGUGCAAUGCAAAUAUUUCCCCUUCAGUUUGACCAGUGGUGAAAGAAUGUGUAACACAUGGUUCCUAAUCUUCAGUUGACAAUUGUUAAUGCACUUUUUUUUUUGAAGAAGAAGAA